AGUUUCAGUUGAAUUGCAUAUGAGAGAAGAGAAAGAGAAGGCAGAGAGAACAACAGGGUUAGAGAGUGAAAGGGCGAUGGGAGAGAGUACGUGAAAAGAGGGUUUUCUCACAAUCCUGUGACGUCUCCCACGGUGGUUCCCCGCCGGAAACAACAGAGUAGGUAUUUGCCAUUAGUCGCCGACGACGGGUUUUGGUGGUGGUUAGGGGAGUGACGAAGAUGGCCUCAAGAAGCUCCGACGAAACAUCAAGUGUUACAGCCAUAAGAGAAGCAGAUUCACAUCAGAAAAUUACUCCGUCUCCGGGUUUAGGCUUGUUAGUGAUGCUGUUGUUACAUUGACGACGUUUCUGGAUAAGCAAAUUGGAUUUAAAUGAUCGCGUCACAAGGGAUCAAGCAUUGAGUUUGUUCAGGAGCCUUCAACGAUUGUAAGUAAUUUUUAAUUAUGCAUGAAUUUAGUUGUUUCUGAUGCUUAAUUUCUUGAUUGAUGAAUCAAUUUUUGGUUUAAGUGAUGUGACGGAUGCAAGAGCGCUAAAUUUGCUACCUCAGGUAGGUUACGUCUGCAAUUGAGGAGUUAUCAGUAGCACAGGGAGAACCAUUGGUAACUGAUUUGAGCAUAGAGUUGUUCUAAAGUUAUGCUUAUUAGGUUUUAUAUGCUUUGUGUUUGUACUUUUUACAUAUGGUACAACUAUCUAGCUUACUUUUAGCUCCACGUUUUGACUACGGGUGUAAAUUUUUCCUUUGACUCUCUUUCUUUAGUUGAUAAUAAUAUGUGUUACUGAUUUCAGCCCAUCUGCGUUUGAGCAGGUAAAAAUAGGUAAAAAAAUGGAAUGGGUCAAAUCACUCAAAUGGCUGGAACAGGUCAAUGGUUGGCCAAAGUGUACCUAAAAGAAUCCAGAAAUUAUUGCAUGUACAUAUGAACCACAGCCUAUCCAUUUGGAACAUAAGAUUAAACUUUUGGGAAAUAGUCCAGUUGGAAAUGCGUCUUAUGAUGUGUUGGUGGAUGUCCCGUUUCCAGUACAAAGGGAACUUGAUACUAAGAAAGGUUCCUGGAGAGCCUUUAAUGCAAAGGAAGGAUGAUACUGCAGCAGUUCUCAAAUCAAGGUUAAACAUGUGAUGAGAGAACAGAAUAUUCUGGCUGCUAACGAGUUUAUCGAGCUCUUCUGUGAAUUUAUUGUGCAACGACUAACCAUUAUUGCAAAACAAAGGGAGUGCCCAGCCGAUCUAAAAGAAAGGAUAUCAAGUUUAAUAUUUGCAGCUCCUAGAUGUUCAGAAAUUCCUGAAUUGGUUGCACUUACAGACGUUUUUGAGAAGAAUUAUGGUAAAGAUUUUGUUGGAGCAGCUACUGAUCUACGACCCAGCUGUGGUGAAAUCGAAUGUUAAAAAAGAGUAAAAUGCCAUUUUUGUCCCCGAGGUUUGGCCAAGUAUGUGGCUUUCGUCUCUAAAGAUUCGGCUAAUUGAGCUUGAUCGGAAUCAAGGGUUUCAAAUAAAGUGGUGGAACUUGGCAAAAACUCGCCUUUGGUGGUUUCAUCUUUUAAUGCGUAUGUCACUGGAGAGCUUUCAAAUUUAUAUCUGGUGCAGAAAUGGAGACCGCCAGCAAGGUUGCAGUGAGCCAGUGGCUCGGCUCGGACUAUCUGGUUCCGUGGAAGUGUCAAACUGAACAGUUGAGAAAACCAAGUCAAGUCAAGUCUGGUCAACCGGGUUCCGUACACUUACUGAGAGCUACAAGCACCGACUCUUGCUUUGAUUAAUCAAAAUGACGCCUUAGAUGAUGAUGAAGAUGAGCCUUUGAAUGAAAAUGAUGAUGUGCACCAAGACCUCUUUGUAAGAUCUUGCAACUUUGAGAAACCGCUUCAGAAACACGAAUGGCAUUGGAACUAAGAGGUUGAAUUCAAGGGUAUUCAUCAUUUCUUUCUCCUGGAAACAUCAAAACAAGAACAAAUAUGACGUUAUAAUUAUUUAAUAAUAACUAUAUGACGUCAUUUCUUUGUAAGAUCUUGCAGCUUUGUAAGUUUAUGAAGUUAUUAUAAACUUUAAUAAUGUACCUCAAUUAGCCAAUUGAUAAGAAUGCCUCUCAUCC